CUUAUCAUACGCUUCAUGGACAAUAUCUGAAAGCUGCUCACUAACCUCUCUUAUUUACACUGGGUCUACCAGCAUGCACAUGCAUAAACACAAAGGACACGGAGGCCUGGGCUCAGAGGAAGUCAAACAUGGCGCUUACUUAACAAAAGCGGCCACAUUAAAGAGAUAAUAGGUGACUGUUUCCAUAAGUAUACUGGCAUAUUUAAUGAUUAUAGUAUAACGCUAUAACGCUAGAUGUAACUACAAGCUUCCACAGGCAGCUGCACGGAGCUCUAACAUGGCAGAGACACGGUGAAAACAUGUCGACAUCCGGAGGCGAACAACUGGGUCUCUACUCACCAGGUGAGGCUUCCUUUUAUUCCCAGCUUCUAUGCGACGGCAGCUGAAAAGUCCACACACUGUUAGUGUGACACAGACGACGAUGGCGGUAACACGUCGAUGAUUUCACGUCUUCUGUAUUUUGAAUUUGUCGGGUCGAACUACAGCUAUUUCCUGGUUCUCUCAGGUAUGUGGGCGUGGCCUCGAAACUGUAGGUGUGCAGCCGCAGGUCGACUGUGCGGCUGUGUGCUGAAAGGAUGCUUUCAAGGUGGGACAUACAGAAGCAAAGCUAGAUAUUGAACUACUAUUUUUCCUCACCCACUUGCCUUCAGAAAUCUCCAGUUAACACCAGGUAUAAAUGUCACACAAUAUAGCUGUCAUUCAAUUAAUAUACUGUAUAUGAAAAGUGGAUAAUUUUUAAGUUUUUUUGACCCCCUUAUUCAUUUUGGGGGCAAGACAUUAAAACCAUCUCCUGUUCUUUAAAUGUUUAAACUAGAAUUAUUGGCAGAGCUAAAUUAGACUGUACAGGGGUGGCUAGUACAGUGAGUGUUGUUACUUUUGCUCAGUUAUCAAAAUAUGUAUAAUACAUAAAUAAUAUGUGUAUUUUUGUAGUUUUGUGUAGUUUAUAUAUUUUUUCUGGUGCUAUUAAAAGUUGAACAUGUUU
rnacentral:lncRNA from 1 species